rnacentral:rRNA from 1 species
CAGUAGCCGCGGUAAUACGUAGGUGGCAAGCGUUGUCCGGAAUUAUUGGGCGUAAAGGGCUCGCAGGCGGUUUCUUAAGUCUGAUGUGAAAGCCCCCGGCUCAACCGGGAAGGGUCAUUGGAAACUGGGAAACUUGAGUGCAGAAGAGGAGAGUGGAAUUCCACGUGUAGCGGUGAAAUGCGUAGAGAUGUGGGGGAACACCAGUGGCGAAGGCGACUCUCUGGUCUGUAACUGACGCUGAGGAGCGAAAGCGUGGGGAGCGAACAGGAUUAGAUACCCCUGUAGUCCCUGUCUCUUAUAC